AUGAAUAUUUAUAGAGCACUGUUGGGGUGAGGGGAGGACAUGGGCAAGAAUAAUAAUGAAGGUCUGAUUUAUUUAUUUUUGCCUCCUGGGUGAUCAGUGGGGUUUGGUACUAGCAUAGCACUAUAAAUCCACUGCUCCUGGUGGCUAUUUUUUUUUCUAUGUUUUUGGACAGGACAGAGAGAAAGUGAGAGAGAAAGGGGGAAGAUACUUACUGCAGACUUACUUCACUGCUCAUGAAGUAUUCCCACUGCUGGUGGGGAGCAGAGGUUCAAACCCUGGCCCUUUCAUGGGUACUUGCGCAUAGUACUAUGUGUGCUUAACCGGGUGCACCACUGUCUGGACCCCAUGAAUUAAAUGUCUUUUUAUUUUAACUUCCACUCUGGGGUAGAUAAAAAAGUGGUCUCUAAGCAGUUGCCUGGGAUGCUGGACACGGUGGAGAAGGCCUGUUCCUGUCCCCCCAGCAGGGGUCCGAAGCUGACACACUCUGGCUCCACCCCAGGCUCAGGCCCCCAGGGCUUUCCAGCUCCCCUGCUGCCUCAGGCUUUCUCAGCUUGUCACCAUCACCUGGGCUCCCCCACCAGGUGACUUUUAUUUCAGAUGCAAAGAGAUGGAGGGGAGAACUUGCAGCUCUGAAGCUUCCUCCUUCAGAAGCCCUGUCUUGCCGGCACCCAGUGGGAAUCUCACCUCCUCACAGAUCAGAAACUAGUUCUGUGCCCACCACUCCCUGGAGUUGUUUUAUUUCCUUGUCUGCAAUAGUUUCUUGCUUUGUCAAGUUGGCAUUCAAAUCUUAAUCUUGACAGGACGUAGGUGAGUGGGCAGAUAGGUAUGUGACGCUUACACGACCAGAUGUAGCUAAUUCUUUAAAUAUAUGUAUAUAUAUUAAGGAGUGAGAAAGAGCACGCAUCACUCUGGACCAUGUGGUGCCUGGCGUGGAACCUGGGUCUCCUGCUAGAGGGUCCGACCCUGUAGCCACUGUGCCACCUCAUGAGCCCCGUGGCCGUGAGGCAUCCGAGUGCACGGUUUGCACAGACAUUGUGCAGCUCGCAGCUGGGCCUCACGGGGGAGUGAUUAAGGUUUGCAAAGACCUUCAAACGAGUGAGCUGGAUAGAUUUCACCUGGGGGAGACCAGAGGGGAAGGAGGAGAAAACACCUAAGAGACGCCGGGACGGGACAGACAGGAGACAGUGGAGGAAGAGGAGCGGCGUCUCCACAAAGGACAACACACCCCUGUCCCCUCCUGCCACUCUCAGCCAUCUGGAUGGCAGACGAGGCUGCAGUCAAGCUGCAGAGGACAGAGGUUGCCCUGCAGACACUUGCAGUUCCUGCUGGAAAGACAAAGACCUGGAGAGGUUUCAUGGUUUGUAAAUUUCUCCUGUGGUUUAAGCAACAGGGUUCUAGGGAUCUCCCUCCCCCGGUCUUUAUUGAACAAGAGUUAAUGAAAAUAAAACACGCUGACAAAAGUAAA